GAGUUUGAUCGUGGCUCAGAUUGAACGCUGGCGGCAUGCCUUACACAUGCAAGUCGAACGGCAGCACGGGAGCUUGCUCCUGGUGGCGAGUGGCGAACGGGUGAGUAAUGCAUCGGAACGUAUCCUGGAGUGGGGGAUAACGUAGCGAAAGUUACGCUAAUACCGCAUAUUCUGUGAGCAGGAAAGCGGGGGGACCUUCGGGCCUCGCGCUCUUGGAGCGGCCGAUGUCGGAUUAGCUAGUUGGUGAGGUAAAGGCUCACCAAGGCGACGAUCCGUAGCAGGUCUGAGAGGAUGAUCUGCCACACUGGAACUGAGACACGGUCCAGACUCCUACGGGAGGCAGCAGUGGGAAUUUUGGACAAUGGGGGCAACCCUGAUCCAGCCAUGCCGCGUGAGUGAAGAAGGCCUUC
rnacentral:rRNA from 1 species